UAUAUUAGCCGCCGAAUUGGUGAUACUUUUUUUUCGAGUAUCAAGAGGGAAUCCGGUUAAAAUCCGGAGCUGUACCCGCAGCUGUAAACUCUGAAUAUUUUUUGCACCACUUGCCACUGUUCUGAUUUCAUCGGGAUGGGAAGGCCGCAAAAAUGGAGUGAGCCAGAAGACCUGCCAUUCGUGAUACAAUAUU
rnacentral:ncRNA from 2 species